UACGUAGGAGGCGAGCGUUGUCCGGAUUUACUGGGCGUAAAGCGCACGUAGGCGGCUUGGUAUGUCGGGUGUGAAAUCCCCGGGCUCAACCUGGGAACUGCAUCCGAAACUGCCUUGCUAGAGUAUGGGAGAGGGAAGUGGAAUUUCCGGUGUAGCGGUGAAAUGCGUAGAUAUCGGAAGGAACAUCAGUGGCGAAGGCGGAUCUCUGGGCCUUACCUGACGCUGAGGCGCGAAAGCUAGGGGAGCGAACAGG
rnacentral:rRNA from 1 species